UGCUUGCCGUCUUGUCCGUUCUUGCCAGCGCACUCCUAUCGUGAAAAAUGCUCGCUUGCGGUCGUCAUUCCUACUGAGAAGCCUACAUCUUGAAAUACGCAGCAAUGUGGCCACGAAUUUUUGUGAGUGUUAGAAUUAAUAUAGGCGAAACAAGAAUUAGAAAAAAAGUCGGCGCUCGUGGCCACCGUCUUCGAUGUGGGAUGAACUCGGAUACACAGAAGCAUGGAUCUUACAAUGUGCAAGCAUUUCCUCCAAGUAAUGGUGAAGUCGCUAUGGGAUAUGGUAGCAAUGUCAACGAAACCACCGCGUUAUCGUGGUCCUCGGGGGCCUGAUCAGCCCGCCGUCAUCCAAGCACUGACCAACCUGCCUACCGACGUCAGCUCCCCGCCCUGAAACCCCUGGCCAGCCCACCGUCCUCAACACCUUGCCCAAUUCCUAUCCUGAGGGCAGUGCCUGUAAAUAAACUGUUUGAAGAUAACCGAGCGUCACCCAUCUAGGUCCACGGAAAAUGCCUGUUUGUGAAAAUUUAUUCGCAAAUAAACUGUCAUAAACAUCAA
rnacentral:lncRNA from 1 species